rnacentral:rRNA from 1 species
GUGACGGCGUGCCUUUUGCAUAAUGAGCCUACGAGUUAGUCGUCACCAGCGAGGUUAAGGGCUUCAGGCCCGUUAGCCGAAGUGAAAGCGAGCCUUAACAGGGCGUCGAGUUGGUGGCGCUAGACGCGAAACCUUGUGAUCUACCCACGAGCAGGUUGAAGUCGCGGUAACACGUGAUGGAGGACCGAACCGGUAAACGUUGAAAAGUUUUCGGAUGACUCGCGGGUAGGGGUGAAAGGCCAAUCAAACUGGGAAAUAGCUCGUACUCUCCGAAAUGCAUUUCGGUGCAGCCUGUGAUGUUCUGUUCCAGAGGUAGAGCUACUGGUUGGACGCGAGGGCUUCACCGCCUAUCAAAUCCGGAUAAACUCCGAAUGCUGGAACACGAAAUCAUGGAGUGAGCCCGCGGGUGCUAAGGUCCGCGGACGAGAGGGAAAGAACCCGGACCACCGGCUAAGGUCCCGGAUGGACAGUUAAGUUGAUCAAACGAGGUGGGAUCGCUGAGACAGCUAGGAUGUUGGCUUGGAAGCAGCCAUUCAUUUAAAGAGUGCGUAACAGCUCACUAGUCGAGCGAUCCCGCGUGGAUAAUACACGGGCAUCAAACUGUCAACCGAAGCCGUGGGGUCAGCGAAAAGCUGACCGGUAGGAGAGCAUUCCUGCCAGCGUUGAAGGUCACCCGCGAGAGUGACUGGAGCGGCAUGAAAAGCAAAUGUAGGCAUAAGUAACGAUAAUGGGGGCGAGAACCCCCCACGCCGCAAGACCAAGGCUUCCCCGGCAAUGUCAAUCAGCCGGGGGUCAGCCGGCCUCUAAGGCUAACCCGAAGGGGGAUGCCGACGAGAAACGGGUUAACAUUCCCGUGCUUCUCGUCACCGUGACGCGGUGACGGGGUGAUGAAUGGACCGCGCGCUGACGGAAUAGCGCGUUGAAGGCCGUACCCUGUGACGGUGGUAGUCAAGCACGCCACCGGAGGCGAAAGUCGAUAGUACCUCGAGGCCUCGGCCGAGGGGAUAGCGUCCAGGCAAUUUACCCCCGAGAAAACCCGCUAAACUUCAAGUGACGAGGAACCGUACUGUAAACGGACACACGUGGUCGGGUAGAACAUACCAAGGCGCUCGAGUGAUUCAUGGUCAAGGAACUAGGCAAAAUAGUCCUGUAACUUCGGGAAAAAGGACGCUCUAGUGAUAGAGCCGCAGAGUAAUAGGCCCAGGCGACUGUUUACCAAAAACACAUGGCUAUGCCAAAUCGAAAGAUGACGUAUAUGGCCUGACACCUGCCCGGUGCCGGAAGGUUAAGAGGAGAGCUCAUCGGAAACGAGAAGGUUUGAAUUGAAGCCCCGGUAAACGGCGGCCGUAACUAUAACGGUCCUAAGGUAGCGAAAUUCCUUGUCGGGUAAGUUCCGACCUGCACGAAUGGUGUAACGAUCUGGGCACUGUCUCAACCAUGAGCUCGGUGAAAUUGUAGUUCCGGUGAAGAUGCCGGGUACCCGCAACGGGACGGAAAGACCCCGUGAACCUUUACUGCAGCUUCGCGUUGUUCCCGGGCACGGGACGUGUAGGAUAGGUCGGAGGC